AUAAACUUAGCAGACAGAGUGAAGGCAGAAUUAGCCGCAGCAGCAGCAGUUGGUAAAGAAUAGUUAAGAUUACUGUUAGAUUCAAACUGUGCACUUCCACUAGUCACCGGUGCAUUUUUCCAAUCUCUGACAGGUUUGGUGAUUCCAGGUUUACCAUCAGCAUUUGAAGUAUCAAUUGUAAAGUUGGGUUUGGUGAUUCCAGGUUUACCAUCAGCAUUUGAAGUAUCAAUUGUAAACUUGGGUUUGGUGAUUCCAGGUUUACCAUCAGCAUUUGAAGUAUCAAUUGUAAACUUGAUUGGGGCCAAUGUCUGUGCAGGAGGACCUGACGAAUUUGGUUGCUGCAUUCUGUUCCCUGAUUGCUGAAUAGCCCCUGGUCCACCUGUUUGCACAAUAUCUUUAAG
rnacentral:lncRNA from 1 species